AUACGUAGGUGGCGAGCGUUGUCCGGAAUUACUGGGCGUAAAGGAUGCGUAGGUGGAUAUUUAAGUGGGAUGUGAAAUCCCCGGGCUCAACCCGGGAACUGCAUUCCAAACUGGGUAUCUAGAGUGCAGGAGAGGAAAGCGGAAUUCCUAGUGUAGCGGUGAAAUGCGUAGAUAUUAGGAGGAACACCAGUGGCGAAGGCGGCUUUCUGGAUUUUAACUGACACUGAGGCAGGAAAGCGUGGGUAGCAAACAGGAUUAGAUACCCUGGUAGUCCACGCCGUAAACGAUGGGUACUAGGUGUAGGAGGUAUCGACCCCUUCUGUGCCGUCGUUAACACAAUAAGUACCCCGCCUGGGGAGUACGGUCGCAAGACUAAAACUCAAAGGAAUUGACGGGG
rnacentral:rRNA from 1 species